rnacentral:rRNA from 1 species
AGGACGAACGCUGGCGGCGUGCUUAACACAUGCAAGUCGAGGGAGGCCAACCUUCGGGUUGAGUCGACCGGCGGACGGGUGAGUAACACGUGACUAACCUACCUUCGGGAGGGGGACAACCUGGGGAAACCCGGGCUAAUACCGCAUAAUGCGCUUUGGCCUCAUGGCCGGGGCAUGAAAGAGGGCCUCUACUUGUAAGCUCUCGCCUGAAGAGGGGGUCGCGACGUAUCAGCUAGUUGGUAGGGUAACGGCCUACCAAGGCUACGACGCGUAGUGGGUCUGAGAGGACGACCCGCCACAUUGGGACUGAGAUACGGCCCAGACUCCUACGGGAGGCAGCAGUGGGGAAUAUUGCGCAAUGGCCGAAAGGCUGACGCAGCGACGCCGUGUGUGGGAGGAAGCUCUUCGGGGUGUAAACCACUGUCAGGGGGGAAGAAACGUUGGACGGUCGAAUAGGCCGGUCAAUUGACGGUACCCCCAAAGGAGCGCCGGCUAACUCCGUGCCAGCAGCCGC